GGACGUGAGGGCACACUGGCUGUGGCUUUGCCCCUUUUCUCCUCCCCCAUUGGUUCUUCUGACCUAGCAGGUGCAGUGGUGUCUCCAUCCUCCUUCUCCUCUCCAUGUAUGUCCUUCCAGAGGCUGCAGGCUCAGCUGGAGAAGACAACCUUCUCCAAUAGAUGAGGACCAUUCUUCCCCAUUCUUCCGUCAAAGGUCUCCGAAUUGAACCGGGCAUGGUGGUGCACGCCUUUAACCCUAGCAC
rnacentral:snRNA from 1 species